UAUUGGCAUAAUGGGUUGUCUUUCUUAUUACCAAAGUGAUUUUAAUAUUAUUAUAAUAAGGAAAGAUUUAAACAAUUGAUGAAACCAUAUAACACAUUGCAAACAGGAAUGACUUUUGUAUUUUAGGGGUUUAUUUGUGUUUGCCUUUAUUAGUGUGUUAUAUGGAUACUAUAUUUCUCAAUUUUUUCUUCUAUAAUGUAACUUGUCACUGAUAACCACCUCUGCUGACAGCAAUGAGCAAUAAAGGGUGUGGAGAUUCAGAAUGAUUCAGCUUUGAUGACCUGAGAUAUUUCAAGUUCAUUCCUGUUUCUUUUUUUUUUUUUAUUGCUUGUUGGUUUUUUUCACCCAACACAAGCUACCUUAUUAUCUAUGCUAUGUAACUUUUUUUUCUUGAAACUAUCCCAGGCAAAAACUGAUAGUGAAAAAUUGUAAGUAACCUUAUAUUAUAGCCCACAAGAGGAAAAUUGGUAAGUAAAUUAUCAUGCUAUAUCCGUUAGGAUGUUUUCUACUGCACAGAACAGAAAACCCACCUCAAAGGGGCUUAAAUAAUAGGAGAUAUUUUCUCACAUAACAAGAAGUCUCCAAGUAGGGUUCAGGGAUGUGUAAUUAAUUGGAGUGUCACAAUCAACUAGGAUCAAUUCUUCCUACUUUUCUGUUCUUCCAUCUUUAGUGUGUAUACUGGACUUCCUUUAUGGCCACAAAAUGGCUGCAACAGCACCAAGCACUAGCUCCACUGCUCCCUCCUUACACACAUUCCAUAGGCAGAAAAAGGGAUUAUCUCUUCCUUGUAUCACUUUUAAGGAACUAAGAAUCUGUUUCACAAAUCUAACCUGUAGAUUUGCCCUUAUAUCUUAUUGGUCAGAAGUAUGUCACUUGUCCCUUCCUUGGCCAAUCACUGAUAAGGGGAAUAGAAUUGUACCAUGAUUGGCUUAAACUAAAUUAAAAAAUCACCUUUUAUGAGUGGAAAUGGAGUUAGCCUUUAAGCCUGAAGCCCUUGACCACCUGAAGAAACCUGAGUUCUGUUAGCAGGAAAGAAAGGAGAACUGGCUAUUGUUAAUACUAGGCAGAUGUUUAAAAUGAAGUUUCCAUUAAAUACCUUGUGUUAGGAGAUGUUGGUAUUAGACAGUAUUAUCUCAACUAUAUAAAAAGACAGAGACACUAUUAUCUCAAAUAUAUAAAACAAACAAAACCUUUAAAAAACUAAGCAGAAACAAAGACUAGCAGAAAAUAUACCAAAAUGUUAACAGCAGCUUCAUGAGUGACAAACUAAGGGUACACUUUUCUUCUCCUUUUUAAAUUUUUAAACUCUUCCACAAUGAGCACAUGUUACUUUUAUGAGCAUUCAGAGCUCCUUUUCCUAUCUUUUCUCUUCUCUAGGUUUCUUUAUCCUGGUUCCAUAUUUUCACUCUUUUUAGAGCUUCGACAAUUCUAACCCAGGGUUCCUCAUGUGUGAACAUUACAAUUACCCAAGGUACUUAUUUCUGUGUCUUCCCUAAUCCAGUGGGUGAAUUGGAAUUUCUGGUGAUAAAGAAUAAGUACUCUAUUUUAAACAAACACUUCAGGUAGUUCUUAUGUGUAUUAGAGAUAGAACUUCUGCGUUAGCCUUUGAUACCAUCAUUCCCUUUAUCUUAUCCAUCAGCCAUUUACUAUGUGCCUACCAUAAUAAACAUAAAACAAAUCUCAACCCCCUUUUCUUUACUUAUUUACUCACUGUCCUUGAAGUUGUCAAAUUUUCCUCUGCUUUGACGCUUACUGCCCUUCCGUGGUCUUUCCCAUGUACUUUUAUUUUCUAUUGUUGCUGUCCCAAAUUUCAAUUUUUUCAUUAAUAGACAUGUUUGGCUUUGAUAUUUUAUUCAUUCAUUCUUCUUUGUUCUCUUGAUCUGCUCCCUAAUUUAAAGAAGCAGCAGAUGAAAGAGACUAUAAUAAUUGGCUGAAAUGGGAAAAUCACAGAGUAAAAAUAAUUUUCUUUCAAUUUACUAAUGAAAAUAUUGUCACCAAAUGACUUCUUACUUCAGCUUUUGUACAAACAGCAUUCAUUUGCUGCAGUAAUGCUUUACGUAUUGAGGUGUGGAUGUGUGCUGGUUUUAGGAUCAGAGCUAAACUACAUUGCUUUUAGAUUAUUUAUGUUAUCAUCACACUAAAAUUAGAGCUGGAGGAGGCCAUUUUUUGACAGAAAGAGUCAUAAACGUGAAGGUCAGAGAUGGAUUUAUUUUUUUUAAGCUCUGAAACUGUUUAUGGACAAGACAGUUAACUUCUCUGAGACCCAGUUUCUCAUCUGUACAAUGAGAAUUUGCACUACACAAUUUAUAAGGUCCUCUCUAGCUCGUAAGAUAUAAGGUUUUGAGAAAAGAGCAUUUCUAGAAAAGUAUUGAUGAUUUCACAAAAGUUAGAAAAUAUCAAGAAAUCAGAUCACUUUUGUCCCAUAAAAAUUUUUAUUAACUCAAUAAAAAUCAAUGUGAUUUCUACUUGAAACACAUAUCAUUUAUUUUCUUAAAACUUCUCAAAAUUUUAAAGACCCUACAGAAGACUGUUAAUUUAAUUUCUUAAAACUUUCUUAAAAUUUUAAAGACCACACAGAAGACUGUAAAUUGAAAGUAAUAUUUUUACAUUGAAAAGUAAAUUUACUUAUUUUUUAGAUGAUAAAAACAAUCAUACUUAUUUUAAAAUAUUCAAACAGUAUAUAAGUGUAUAAGGUAAAUUUCUUAUUAUCUGCUCCCACCCCAACUAAUCUGGACAAUCACACACAAAUAGGAUCUACUGUAAUACUAUUUUUCAACUUGCUUCCCUCCACCCCCACUUAACAAUAAACAAUGUAUAUAUAAAAUAAUGUAUGUAUAAACCAACGCAUAUAUUGGGUCUGUUUUACCCUAUCGGUAAAAACAGAUCUGCUGCUAAUGUAAUGGAAAUAAUCAAAACAAAACUAAGGACUUUUAAACCUGAGGAUUAAUUCUUAUGCAUUAGAAUUUAAUAUGGAGAAAUAGGGAAAUCAUUCUGUUACCGAAAUUAUUUACAAAAUACCAUCCUUAACUGACAACCUUUAGUCCCGUAUCUUCAUAAAAGCAGCUUAGAGUGCCUGAAGGGUUUUGAGGGUUCUGCAAGGUGUGUCAUAUUAUAGCUCACAUCAGUGCACAUUGAUGUAUCUCUCUGGCAAGAACUGAAAGAUACAGUUCUUAAAUCCCCUGCUGACCCAUUAUCCAUGGAUCAUUGACAAGAUAGAAUGUAAUAGCUCCUGUCUUUUUACCAAGGUAAACCUCCCAGUGAAACUGCAUUGUUCAUGCCCUACAUCUUUUAUCUAAAUAAGAAAAUGAAUAUAGGGAAAAAAACUAUGUUAAGUAGAUAAUAUAAAUACUUUCAUAUUCUUUAUUAUAUUUUAAUAUUUGUUGAAUGAGGAAACAUAAACUGUUUAAUUGCAGGGGCUGAGACUAAGAAAGUUUUCCCAUAACCUAUCUUUCCAAAUAGAUCAUCUUAAAUACAAGGCUAAAGGAAUUGCAUAAGAUCCAGCAUUUAGAACACCAAAUUAAACUAAUAGACAUGUUGCCUAUUUAAGGACAGCAUUAAAACAGUAGUUCAGUUGGUGUUAUGGGUCAGAAUUUAACAUUUCCCAUUAUCUUGAUCUAAAAAGUCAAUGUUUCUCUACUCUAAAAGUUAUUUCAUUUGUGAACUGGGUCAUAAAGAGUCAUAAGCUCUCAGAGGGAUUUAUUCACAGACCUCGGCAAUGUUUACCAUGUGGCACUGUGUUUUUGCAACAUCACAUAUUGACAGUGCUGUGUUGUAAAUUUCAUAAUGCGAUGACAGGACAUGGCCAUAUUUUUAUGUGGUUCUGAUCAAGAUCCAUCUGAAAGCUCCUUAUUUUAUGUUAGUCUUCUUGACUUCUAAAAGAAUUCUGCCAUAUUUCUAUCUGUUUAAAUCUAGAAAAGGUUAGAAAUAGAAAGAUGAUGCUCUUGUCAACUUGAUUAACACUUCAUUUCCUGCCCGGGGCAAAAUAAAAAAAGAAAAUGAAAAAAUAAAUACAUAACUUGACCAACCAUCUCAGUAAGAAUAUGGGCAAGUGAAUCAGAUAUUUGGCCUAGACCAGUGAAAUUAAAGAUACAUAUCCCUUUAACUCAGUGAUUCCACUAGAGAAACUCAAACACAUCUGCAGAAAGAUACAUGGGCAGGAAUAUUCUCUGAAAUAUUGUUUGUAAUAGAGAAAAACUAAAAAAAAAUCAAUGUCCCCUAGCAUGAGAAUGGGUAAAUAAAUAAUCAAUAUUCACAUAAUAGAACACCAUAUAGUAGUUAAAAUGACCCGUUUAGCAGUAAACGUAUCAGCAUGGAUUAAUCUCAAGCACAUAAUGUUGUAUGGGAAAAAAAUAAUUUGCAGAAUGAUGAGUACCUAUCAUUCAUAUAAAUUUUGGAGACAUGUAGUUCAUAAAACUGUAGUGAAAGUAUAAGAUGUUCUUGGAAAUAAUAAGCACCAGAGUCUGCAUAGUGGGUACCUUUGGAGAGAAAGAGGAAAGAAAUUAGAGACCAGUACAUAUUGAGGGGGGAUUUCAGUUGUAUUUAUGAUAUUUUAUUUCUUCAUUAUAUCUGAAGCAAAUAUAGAAAUUAAGACUUGGAAAAGCUGAGGGAUAAAUAGAGGGGUGUUUGUCAUAUUAGUCUCUCUACUGUCCUAUAUACUUGGAAAUUUUCAUAAUAAACCGUUUUCAAAAAAGAAUCAGAUAUUAGAGCUGAAAGGGACUUUAGGAAAUGUCUAAUAAUUGGAUUUUUAGUGAGUAGCUACUCUGUGAUGUUAGGAUUACUCUGAUGAUGUUAGGAUUACUCUGGUGCAUCAGAGACACAAGGGCUCUACACCCUUGGAGCUUACAUUCUACCAGAAAGAGACCAAAUUUAAAAUUAAACAGAAUAUUAACAUGGACCAUACAGAGGAUUUCAUUUCAUUUGAGGAUGAAGAAAUUGAGGUGCAAAAAAGUCAAGUGAUUUUCCCAAGGUACAAGCCAAUUCUAGAACUUUGCCUUCCUCUCUGUCUUUCUACAUACUUCUAUUUUCCUCUGGUCUCCCUCUAACCUAAUGUUAUUCUAAUUAUUGAUGGUGUUAGGCACAAGCACAUUGCCAGUGUCUCACUUGUUUGUAGCCAUCUGUUUGGCAUAGGUACAAAUUUGUCAAAUACUAAAACUUAACUAAAUAGCUUUAAAAUUGUUGAAUAUUUUGAACAUGACAUUAAAUUACAACCUUCUCAUAUUAGGUAGGUCAGCAUUAUCUUUGUUUCAUGGGUGAAGAAAGAGAUGAAUGGGGGAGUAGCUGUGGGGUGAAGUAAAUUGCCUAAGGCUCUGUAGGAAACAAGAGUGACAGGUUCUGGAUCAGAAUUCAGAACUCUGACUUAAUCUAAUGCAAAAUCUGGAGUACCUUUCUUGCUGAUCUUCCCUUUUAGGUUAAUGUGCCUCACUUCCACACAUUCCUGUAAAGCUAACACUCUUGAAAAUUGUAAGAAAAGGGCCCUUACCACUAAUACCUUGUCAGAUAAAUUGAGUAUUUUUCACCUUCAAAGUUUUGAAUUCAUUGGUAAACAUGUUUAAUGUAAACUUUUAUGUCCAUCUAAGUGUGCAAACUCUUCUCUCCAGAUGGCCUCAAAGAACAUUCAGGGAAAUCAUUUUCCAAACCAUAACUGUUCUAUUCAGAGCUUUGAAGACAGAUAUCAGGUCUUCAGAACCAAUGAAGAAGAAACCAUUACUUAUCAAAGAAGGCUUCUAUGGACGUAUGUAGAAGGUUCCCCUGUCAGUGAGGGUGGAAGAGAGGGGAUAAGGAAGACUCACUGGAGAAGGUAAAUGUGGUUUCAAUGGUGAGAGAACAUUCAGGUGAGUUUCUCCGAAUGAAGUAUGCUCUCCUGGUAAUGAUCAUAGUAAUGGCAAAUAGCAGGGUUUUUUUAAAGCAUAAUCCAUGACACAAAAUUCUUUUUAGACGCUCUGAGAAAAAGGAAUUUUGUAGUCAAAUACAUCUGAAACUUAACAAUGUAUGCUAACAACUAAUGUCUCUGAACAGUCUGGCAGUAAAGAAACCUGAUUAACACAGUAUAACCCAGCAUUUCCCAUACUACCCUGACCAUAACCAUCCUUUCUUGUUGUUGGGGGGAUACCUGGGGGAAGACCUAU